ACCCGCUGAACUUAAGCAUAUCAAUAAGCGGAGGAAAAGAAACCAACAGGGAUUGCCCCAGUAACGGCGAGUGAAGCGGCAAUAGCUCAAAUUUGAAAUCUGGCGUCUUCGGCGUCCGAGUUGUAAUUUGUAGAGGAUGUCUCGGGUGGAGAACCGGUCCAAGUCCCUUGGAACAGGAUAUCAUAGAGGGUGAGAAUCCCGUAUCCGGCCGGCCCCCUCCCCCGCUGUGAGACUCCUUCGACGAGUCGAGUUGUUUGGGAAUGCAGCUCCAAAUGGGUGGUAAAUUCCAUCUAAAGCUAAAUACUGGCCAGAGACCGAUAGCGCACAAGUAGAGUGAUCGAAAGAUGAAAAGCACUUUGAAAAGAGAGUUAAAAAGUACGUGAAAUUGUUGAAAGGGAAGCGUAUGCGGCCAGACUUAUCUGCAGUUGCUCAGCCCGUCUUCUGGCGGGUGUACUCUUCUGCAGCUAGGCCAGCAUCGGUUUCGGCAGCCAGAUAAAGACGUCGGGAACGUGGCUCCCCUCGGGGAGUGUUAUAGCCCGUCGUGCAAUGUGGUUAGCCGGGACCGAGGCCCGCGUUCUGCUAGGAUGCUGGCGUAAUGGCCGUAUACGGCCCGUCUUGAAACACGG
rnacentral:rRNA from 1 species